rnacentral:rRNA from 1 species
GACGAACGCUGGCGGCGUGCUUAACACAUGCAAGUCGAACGGAAAGGCCCUGCUCUUGUGGGGUGCUCGAGUGGCGAACGGGUGAGUAACACGUGAGUAACCUGCCCUUGACUUUGGGAUAACUUCAGGAAACUGGGGCUAAUACCGGAUAGGAGCUCCUGCUGCAUGGUGGGGGUUGGAAAGUUUCGGCGGUUGGGGAUGGACUCGCGGCUUAUCGGCUUGUUGGUGGGGUAGUGGCUUACCAAGGCUUUGACGGGUAGCCGGCCUGAGAGGGUGACCGGCCACAUUGGGCCUGAGAUACGGCCCAGACUCCUACGGGAGGCAGCAGGGGGGAAUAUUGCAGAAUGGGCGGAAGCCUGAUGCAGCAACGCCGCGUGCGGGAUGACGGCCUUCGGGUUGUAAACCGCUUUCGCCUGUGACGAAGCGUGAGUGACGGUAAUGGGUAAAGAAGCACCGGCUAACUACGUG